rnacentral:rRNA from 1 species
GGUUCAUGAAACUUUCCGACGCAACGUCCAGAAGCUGAGCACUGCGUCAGUCCGAAAAUUCACCGG